rfam:Alligator mississippiensis ScZkoYb_67, whole genome shotgun sequence.
AAAAGGACCUGGCAGAGGAGAUACCAUGAACAACAAGGUGGUUCUCCUAGGGUCAGACCUGUCCUUUGCAUUCUGGGCAGGCUGCCCCUGCAAGUUUCUCUGAAUGUGAAAAACUCGACUGCACAAUUUUGUGGCAGUGAGGGACUGUGCACAUGCUUCCCCCA